rnacentral:misc_RNA from 1 species
GAAAUGCGAUAAGUAGUGUGAAUUGCAGAAUUCAGUGAAUCAUCGAAUCUUUGAACGCACAUUGCGCCCCUUGGUAUUCCAUGGGGCAUGCCUGUUCGAGCGUCAUUUGUACCCUCAAGCUCUGCUUGGUGUUGGGUGUUUGUCCCCGUCUCCGCGCGUGGACUCGCCCCAAAGUGAUUGGCAGCCGGCGUACUGGUCCCGGAGCGCAGCACAUGUCGCGCAAACGAGUGCCUUGGUACGGCGGCGUCCAUAAGCUCCUCUCUCACGCUCUUGACCUCGGAUCAGGUAGGGAUACCCGCUGAACUUAAGC